CUGGUUCAUGGACCCAGACUCCCAGGCCCCUCUCUGCAGAGCUGCUCUCCAGCAGGUCAGCUCCCAGCCUGCAUUGGUCCUUGGGGUUAUUUCUCCUGAGGUGCAGGACCCUGCACUUACCUUGUUGAACUUCAUGAAGUUCCUCUCAGCCC